CAUUACGGGAGAGGUGCAACACUCAGGCAACUUGAUUUUAGGCAACUAGGGCCGUUUGAGAAUUAAGUGAUGGGAGUGAUUGCCGAGGUGUGAAUUCACUAGACUGGAAUUAACAUCGGCUGAAUAGGUUGAAUCCUAUCAGCUGUCAUUUAAUAGGUUAUUUCACCAUAUUAAAUGGAGUGCUCUGAUUAA
rnacentral:ncRNA from 2 species